CCCUGGCAGUUGCUGCUGGGCUUACUGCAGCUCAGACACAGCAGAAGAGCCUAGAACCUGGGUCCUGGUUUGCACCUAGAAUAUGAGGCAAGUGGCAAGAGUGAUCGUGUUCCUGACCCUGAGUACUUGGAGCCUUGCUAAGACCACCCAGCCCAUCUCCAUGGACUCAUAUGAAGGACAGGAAGUGAACAUAUCCUGUAGCCAUGACAACAUUGCCACAAGUGAUUACAUCUUCUGGUAUGAGUAGCGGAGAGGACGUGGAACAGAGUCUUUUCCUGAGUGUCCGAGAGGGAGACAGCGUCGUUAUAAACUGCACUUACACAGACAGUUCCUCCAGCUACUUAUACUGGUAUAAGCAAGAGCCUGGUGCAAGUCUCCAGCUGCUGGCAUAUAUUCUUUCAAAUAUGGAUGUGAAACAAGACCAAAGACUCACUGUUCAAUUGGAUAAGAAGAAUAAACAUCUCUCUCUGCGCAUUGCAGAAACACAGACUGGGGACUCAGCUAUCUACUUCUGUGCAGAGAGUGCACAUUGCUUCUCAGGCACCUGGAUCUUGUACCCAAACCUGUGCUUGGGGCUGAAGCCACACUCUGUUUCCUUUGGUACUAACCUUUAA
rnacentral:lncRNA from 1 species